rnacentral:lncRNA from 1 species
UGGCCACCUCUCUCUAGCCAGAGUUAGGCACCAGAGACGGAGAUGGGACCCACUGUGGCCCCUACCCUUCCCUUCCCGAGCCUAUGAGGGAGUUAGAAAGAUAACGUAUCCAUAAAUGAAAAAAUAUUUGGAAAUCGAAACAGUGCACACUCUGCUAUGCCAACUGGGCAGACAAUGCUAGGAGAGACCCCAAGAAGUGAAAUGGCAACAUUAUAGGAAUCAACUGGGGACUCGUGAAGUUUCCUACAUAGAGAAUGAGGUCAUCUUUGCAUUCAUGUGUCAAAAUACAUUCUGUCCCAGCUAUAUACAAGGUAUAUUGCUUUUA